GGGGUUUCGGACGUUGCUGAAGCAGACAGGAUCUAACAUGAGCCAGAGACCGAGAGAGUUGGGGAGGGGAACGAGAGAGAGACGUUCGGCCCCAGAAAAGGGGAUUUUCGGCAUAACUCGAUUCCCACAAGCCCACGCAGCAGCGGAAAGCAAACCAAGACUCUUGGGAGAAAGACCUCAGAAAUCUAUAGAAGCUUGUUUCUGUCACUAAAUAAAAGAUAAAAAGGAGAAACAUCCGAGGCAAAGUUGAGACAGUGAUAUGUGAACUGAACAUCUGCUGAGUUAUGAAAGAGCAGCAUCUGAUCAGAGAAAUUAAAUUUUCCUCUGCUUGUCUGAGCGCAGGUAUCAGUUCUCCUCAGAAAUGAGCGGAUUCCUUUUUGCUGACGUUGGUUUGGAGACAAUAAACUGUGAAAGCCACAGAGAUGAAUCCAAGCAGUUUUGAGCUGCCGUCUCAACCGCGUCAGCAUUUCUUCACAUUCCUGGAUUGUGUCAUAUACAUUGUCUAAACUUGAAACAGCUUAGCUGACGUGGAAAAUCAAUCAGAAUCACUGCAAGCCCCAGUCAACAUGUGCACAUGAAUUUAAUGUUCAUUUGAAACCAUUUUUUAAAUAGGAUUCCAGUAUAACUCUAAUUAAUCAUUUAGAAAAUAAAAUCCACUGUAGGACAUCAGAAUGUAUUUUGAAAACAGUCUAUAGCUUCACAUGUGAAUUAUUUAAACUGUCCAGUAUCAGGACAUAUUUCCAAUACAAUACAAGCAGAGAUCUGAUUAAGGUACAACAUGUAAUAGACUCCAAGAUUCAAAAAAAUCCUCUAGGCAUUCGAGUUCACCCAGUAGAGUCUCAUUUGAUCCCAUAACGAUCAUUUUAAAUGGUGUGCAAGGUUGAAUUCUGAUAGGAAUCCGGUGCACAUUGCUUUAAGUCCGCUGUAGGGAAUUCAGGAUGGUUGCAGAAACACAUAUCAGAUCUGACAGACUUACUUGUGUGUGUGUGUGUGUGUGUGUGUGUGUGUGGGUGUGUGUGUGGGUACACAAAAAAAAAAAAAAUGCUGGGUUAAAAAACCCCCAAGAUGGACAAACCUGGCGAUUGGGUUGUUUUAUCCCAGCGGUUGGGUUAAAUGUUUGCCCAAUGUGCUGGGUAGUUUUAUUUAACUCAACUAUUGUUUAAAAAUUACUA